ensembl:misc_RNA 7SK 7SK RNA
GGAUGUAAGGGCAUUCUAGAUACAACAUCUGUCACCCCACGAUCCCCAGGGUUGACUCGACUGAUCUGGCUGGCUAGGUGGGUGUUCCCUUCCUCUGUCACCACUCCAAAUGCAUCUCGUCAAAGCUGUCAGCUUGGUCAAAGAGGACAACCUUCCCUGGUACAGGAGGACUGUUCUUCAGUCAAGAGUAUACGAGUAUGGUAUGAAGACAUGAAUUAGUGUGAAUAUACUUUGCAUACAACCAGAGAUAUGAAAAAUUGUGCUCU